CUGCAGUCGAGCGAGAAGGUAGAGAGUGAUUCUUCGGAUGAGCGAUCUACCAGACAGCGGCGGACGGGUGAGUAACGCGUGGGUAACCUGCCUUAUACUGGGGGAUAACAUUCUGAAAAGGAUGCUAAUACCGCAUAAGCGCACAGCAUCGCAUGAUGCCGUGUGAAAAACUCCGGUGGUAUAAGAUGGACCCGCGUCUGAUUAGCUAGUUGGUGAGAUAAUAGCUCACCAAGGCAACGAUCAGUAGCCGACCUGAGAGGGUGAUCGGCCACAUUGGGACUGAGACACGGCCCAAACUCCUACGGGAGGCAGCAGUGGGGAAUAUUGCACAAUGGGGGAAACCCUGAUGCAGCGACGCCGCGUGAAGGAUGAAGGUUUUCGGAUCGUAAACUUCUAUCAGCAGGGAAGAAAAUGACUGUACCUGACUAAGAAGCCCCGGCUAACUACGUGCCAGCAGCCGCGGUAAUACGUAGGGGGCAAGCGUUAUCCGGAAUUACUGGGUGUAAAGGGUGCGUAGGCGGUAAAGUAAGUUAGGUGUGAAAGCCCGGGGCUCAACCUCGGGACUGCACUUAAAACUGCAUUACUAGAAUACAGGAGAGGUAAGUGGAAUUCCUAGUGUAGCGGUGAAAUGCGUAGAUAUUAGGAGGAACACCAGUGGCGAAGGCGACUUACUGGACUGUGAUUGACGCUGAGGCACGAAAGCGUGGGGAGCGAACAGGAUUAGAUACCCUGGUAGUCCACGCCGUAACGAUGAAUGCUAGGUGUCGGGGGUCGAACCUCGGUGCCGCAGCUAACGCAUUAAGCAUUCCACCUGGGGAGUACGAUCGCAAGAUUGAAACUCAAUGAAAUUGACGG
rnacentral:rRNA from 1 species